GGGGAUUUAGCUCAGUGGUAGAGCACUUGCCUAGCAGGAGCAAGGCCCUAGCAAGGCCCUGGGUUCGGUCCCCAGCUCCG
rfam:Rattus norvegicus chromosome 1, whole genome shotgun sequence.